UACGUAGGGUGCAAGCGUUGUUCGGAAUUACUGGGCGUAAAGCGCGUGUAGGCUGCUCUGCAAGUCGGAUGUGAAAGCCCUGGGCUCAACCUAGGAAGUGCAUUCGAAACUGCAGAGCUGGAGUCCUGGAGAGGAAGGCGGAAUUCUCGGUGUAGAGGUGAAAUUCGUAGAUAUCGAGAGGAACACCGGUGGCGAAGGCGGCCUUCUGGACAGUGACUGACGCUGAGACGCGAAAGCGUGGGGAGCAAACAGG
rnacentral:rRNA from 1 species